GUUGCUGCUUGUACAAAGUUGUUAUUGCUAUCUGUUAAAUAAUUUGUCUGUGUAAUGGUUCUUGUCAUAAACUAAGUCAUAAUCCCACUUGUGUUCUAGUUCCCAUGGACACCAGUGACAACGGGGGAAGCUCUUCUGGCCUGUGCUGCUGUCCCUACAGCCACUCCUGGAGGUGCACCAGAAGAGCUGUUUGCAGGGCAGCCUGAGGAAUCAGACACAGGACCUGGGGAGAACCAGAAAUAAUCUCUCCUUUCUAAGGUUUUGGUGACUUCUGGCAUGGUGGAGAUGUGAUGGAGACUCAAACAUGACCACAGCAGAGAAGGACCUGGGCUGGGAUUCUGGCUCUGACCUCAGCUUCUCCAUGUUUCAUUUCACACAUCUGAGAAAUGUCUCCUUACUAAAGUCACAUUAUCUACAAAGCAAGGUGUCGGCUGAGAUAAGUAGAACUGGAAGAAAAUGGUUCUGGUUGUCUAAGGUGCUCUGCAAUAUUUGCAAUCUGUGGAUAAGCAGCAAUCAGCAAAACUCACAAUAAGCGGUAAGUGCUCUAAAUGUCAUAAUGAGCUCAGUCAUUGAAAUCUGAACGCCAUUUAUGUUGCCCUUUGAUAAUAAUUUGUGAUUGCCACUCAAGAAGGCAAUCAUGUAUCCAGUACAGCUGAAAAUUAGAUGCAUAACCC
rnacentral:lncRNA from 1 species